AGAACGAACGCUGGCGGCGUGGAUAAGACAUGCAAGUCGAGCGCUGAUUAAAGGGUAGCAAUACUCUUUAAUUGGAGCGGCGCAAGGGUGCGUAACACGUGGGUAAUUUGCCGUGAAGUUGGGGAUAACUCGCUGAAAGGCGAGCUAAUACCGAAUGUGGCCAUAUGGAGGCAUCUCUGUUUGGCUAAAGCUGGGGACCGUAAGGCCUGGCGCUUCAUGAUAAACCCGCGGCCUAUCAGCUAGUUGGUGAGGUAACGGCCCACCAAGGCUAAGACGGGUAGCUGGUCUGAGAGGACGACCCAGCCACACUGGAACUGAGACACGGUCCAGACACCUACGGGUGGCAGCAGUCGAGAAUUUUUCACAA
rnacentral:rRNA from 1 species